GCAAACUGACAUUCUACCAUCACCUGUAUCCUCUAGAGUCAGGAUGCCUUCCAUAAAUGCUGUGGUUCACUUUUUUGUCUCGCAGUUCUAGUUGCCUGACACGUGGUCUGCCCUACCUCUGAGCACCUAUGGUCCUCCUCCUCCAUUUGAACUUACGAGGUCAAGGGUUUGCUCACUGGAUAGAAUGAGAGGAUCUUAAACUUUGGAGCCAGAUAGAACUUACAACCUCCUUCCAGGAAGAGAAGCCUCACUUGAACUCAAACAGAGAAGUACACCUGUACCUGCAGUCGUCCCAGUCAGCUCAGGUUCAGUCAUCCUGGCCAGGCAGCAGCAUCACUCACCUGACGGAAACAGUGAAGUCUAGUGGGACCUCAUGCAGCCAGGUCUUCCGCUCAUAUUUAUACUCCACUUGCAUCAUUGUCAGAAUUCAGGCACCGGCCACACUGAGAGGCACAGAGAUAAAUGUGGUUACACUACACAGAAGGAAGGUGGAGGAAUUGUGCCAUACCAAAAAGCCAGGUCCUGGAAUGAAGAUCCAUAAAUAUUUUGUUGUAUUUUAGUGACAAUCUAACCAAAAUAAAUUCAUUCAUUUCAGCUUGACUUU
rnacentral:lncRNA from 1 species